rnacentral:lncRNA from 1 species
CUAAGACCGAAUCACAGCCAUGCUGAUGUUCAGCACUCCCCCGUGUGAUAUUACUUAACUGACAUACGUUCCUCACAUUAUCUAGCUACAUUAGGGAGGACUAUAAAUAAAAAGUCAAAGAUGGUCCAAAUCUUUGAGUCAACUAACAAAACCAUGAAUGAAGAUGGAAUGGAUGACACAUAUCCUGGCAUGGAUCAUAUAUCAAACGCAGAAUUGAAAGCUGCUAAUAUCAGUGCAGACAUGCUUCCCAGUCUCAAUAAGGAGGAUUUACGUGAUCUCUUUCCCGGACCAGAGCACUUCUUCAGAAGGAGAACCAUUUGGCGACUUAAUCAUGGUGAAAAUUAGGGUUAAGAAUCAGACCUGUGUAGACCAGUCACCUCCUCUGGGACCUAUGAUUUCAGCCCCACUCCCACCCCCUUUCCCUCCUCCUCCUCCACCCCCUUCCACUCUCUACUGCCCCCCCAUCCCCCCACCCCUCUCCAAACCCAAGAGACCAACAUGGUGCCACCAGAACUGUACAGCUUGUCAGCCCACAGUAUGUCAUAUACACAGACACAGAGUUGGAGCAAUCAAGAAUAACCUUUUUUGAAAAACAGCGUGCUGGACAAGGAGACUAUAUCCUUUCCAAAGAUCUUCGCUGUUGAUUAAUCAGGAAUACAGUAACAAGCAUGAUUUCCAUUGAGAGAGCGGCAGGGGAUGACUUCCAGUAUCCAUGCAGCCGUGAACUCAUUGUAAUGGUGAAGCGUCUCAUAGACUACUACCCAAUGCUGCGGGACAGAUCUGCAACCAGUGGAGCUGAGUGGGUCACUUCUCAGUAUUGGGUAGUAGUCACUUCUCAGGUAUUCAACACAUGUUUCCAAACACAGCACUGUUGGAUACCUGGCAACCAAAGUGCAAACAUCUGACACUCAAAAUAGCAGGGAUGUGCUUCAUCCAGAUCAAUCAGGGAAACAUGUGUCUGCUUGUAUCGUUUCAUUUCUGUGGAAUAUGUUUAUGAUGUACAGGAUCAGGGCAGCAAAUACAUACUCCUCUGGAUCCAGGGCAUACUUCUGCCUGCCCAUUACCAGCUGGCAGUCAAUCACCAGGAGGGAAAAGGUGAUGGAGGAAAGAAAGGGUUUAGGGUGCAAUAGAUGGAGGUAUUCAUUCUGGCUACAAGGCUGCAUAAACAGAAAGAACCUAAUAAAAGGAGAUAUAACAUUGAGUGAGUUCUAUAUCAGUGAGAAGGGCAGGGCUCCCAGAGAUCCAUAGACUAUCUGCAGCACAUUGGAGUAGUAGAAACAGCAGAAGAAGCUGAACAUGAGAAGGUCCACUGCCCCAGCACCAGCAGGAUGCCAUUACAACGCGUGAAGUCCACGCUUUGUAAUGUCUGCAGACCAAAGAGAGGAGUGAGUAACUUUUAUUUCUGAAUUCCAAAGCGACCCUGGGCAAUAUGGUAUUUGUUGUCCAAUAAGCUAGGUCACCGGGGGGUCAGCCUGACCACAAACUGAUGUGGUAUGGUCGAUUUGGAAUUAAGCAUAAUAUCAUGUUUUUAGUGAUUUGAAAAAAACAGUCUGACCUGGGCUGAGAAGAUGAUGAUGGUGAAGGAGAUGACCACUGUUGCUCCCAUGGCGAUGACUACAGCAGUGGUGUCGGGGAAUGAGGCCACAGUGCUGACCAUGUAGGAAAGGCUGAGAGCGACCACUGACUAGAGGCAGUAUGCACACCAUAACACUUAAAAUACCACUCACUCAAUCCCAAAUCUCACUUUAUCCUAUCAUUGUGUUCAAGUAGUGAUAGAAUCAAAGCAAGAUCAAAGACGGUUGUUCUCAUUAGUCAUGCAACUAAGUUCUAGGAGAAUGUAUUUGGCAUUAGCCAAUAGGGAACUGUGAAUACAGUAAGGUACACUUAUAAGCAUCACCGGUAACUUCACUUUUUAAAUAAUGUGUAUGAACACAUCUAAAAAAAAACUAUUGUAUAGUUUAUAUCUAUAAGUGAACAGAUAAACCUAGAGCUCAAUUAAGUCUAACCCACACUUCAGUAUUACUUAGUGACUUUGCAUGGGCCAGUUUGUCAGUCGCUGGUCUAGCUAGUUGUGAUGGGGUUGUGUUUAUGUGUUUGUGCGUGCGUGUGACCCACCAGGUUCCAGGGAUGGCUACUGCUAAAUGAGCUGCAGCAGAUGAGGCAGAUGGCCACUGAAGUAAACAGGAUGGAGGAGCUGAGGUAAAUCAAAUGUUAUUUGUCACGUGUCGUAAACAACUGGUGUGAACUUAACAGUACAAUGCUUACUUACGGGUCCUUCCCAACAAUGCAGAGAUAGAACAUGGAGAAAUAAUAGAAAAAUUGUCCAUAUGUUGCUCUGCAUCGCUGCCCCCACCAUACCGGAGAAAGUGUACACACACAAUGCUGAAGGUCACCAGCAACUGCAGGGUCACAACACUGAACACUUGCACAGGUAGAAAGACAGGGUUACCAUUAGCCCCUUGGGAGGUAUACUUGGGAGGUUACCAAGAAACUUAGGGCUCCAAGACCAAAUCUCUCAAACAUAUCAGUAUAAACCUUUCUGAUAUAAGGCUUCCAUAUUGUCUCGUCAUCAAAAGAUGACACCAAUAGGAUGGCAUCUGUCACUCUCUGGUGGAGAGGAUCCUUUGUGAGUGACAGAACAACAGUCUCAUAUUAUUGGCCAUGACAACACUGGAAUAUUGUAGUGACUUUGCAGACUUUUCAGUGGUCAUGUAACCCAACAAGUGAAUUCAACGGACAUACAUUAUUCCAGCAGAAAUGUUAAAUUUUGCAUUAACAUUUUAUUGUAAUUGGCAGUAAUGAGGAAAGACAUUAAUAAUCCACCAGCAUGACAGUUUCCCCUCUUUCCUUGCUAUUGCAGAACAGGAUAGUUACCUGGCUCUGCCACAUGGUUACACUCUCCAGGUGGGAGGGGUUCGAAGUCCACCCAUGCCUGUAGUGGGUACAGGACUGGGGGGUAGAGUAGGGCAUUCUGAGCCUCUGUGGGCGUGGGGUAGUUCUGUGCAUCUGUCAUUCUGAGCGAGAGCGUAGUGUGAAGAGGAGUGGGUUGGAAGAGACUGAUGUUUGGAGGAAAAUAUAGAGGGCUUAGAUGAUAUCAAAAGGCCUGUGAGAAAAGAGAUGUGAGAUACUAGCCUGGGGGUUUCCACUGUCCACAUGAGGAACCUGGAAUUGAGUAAACCUUCAUAAAGAAAUGUAACAGUUACAUGUCAGAACAAUGAUGCAACAAUAACAUCCUUGCAUUUAUGACCAAAUCAGCAUAAUGUGUAUGUUAAUAUUACCAAGGAAUGUUUUGUAUUAGUGUUCUCACUGAGACGUUGUUUUGUCUAUAGAUGUGUGUGAACGCAGAUAUUUCUCAGUAACUACAGUUCUCAAUAACAGGAAUCAGUAGGUCAAACCACUGGGAUAAACUGAAUUCAAAAAUGUAAAUAUCUUUCCUUCUAAAAUAAAAUAUUAUAAUUUGCAUUUUAUCUUUUACAAAUGACAACUGGAAAACUAACCCCAAAAAGAUUAAAUCCCUUAUUUUACUACAGCAUUCAUACACAAUUAGAUCAUAUGUUUGUGUUGUCCAAUUUAUUUAAUUAUUUUGUCCAAACUGGCACAUCAUCUGCUACCAACAGGAGAUUUUUGACAACCCCAAAAUGAUGUCAUCUUAGUUCUGUCAUUGAAGUAGUGGACCAAUUGGGAGAUGACUAACUGAGCACUUACCUUCUUUAUACCUGGGUUUCACUUGUGCUGAACCUCAAUUACCGCACUGUACUUCCUGUGAGGUUGAGUGAUGAUCUAGCGGCUAGCCUACACACAGACUGCUUUGCUGUUUGACUCAGACUGAGAAACUGGAACUUCUACCUUCACCUUUAGCAGCCUGUGCCCUUUUGGGUUAUUUCCAGAACUGAAAUGUCACUGACAGUGAUGGUGAACUAAGGCCUUGUUCACCCUGCAGGCCUUAAUGCUCAAAUCAAUGUAGUUUUUCAAAUCCAUUUUGGACUACCGACUGUCCAAACAGCAAGUUACAAGUGACCAAAUAGAAUUUGUGUGUAUUCAGACAGCAUUCAUUUGUUGACAAGGCUACGCUUGUUGUCAUAAUAACGAUGAGUGUGUGCGCAGUAGGGUAGGCUGACUGGUGGUGGUGCUCAGGGUUCCUAUCGCUCAGAAGUUAUGUAGCAAGCUAAGGUGACAACAAUACAUGCCAUGGACGUUCCCCAGUUGCUUUGAAUGCUCAAAAUCAUAGGGUAAGAACACAUUUAAAGCCUCAAAGCCUUCCCUGUAGCUCAGUUGGUAGAGCAUGGUGUUUGCAACACCAGGGUUGUGGGUUCGAUUCCCACGGGGGGCCAGCACAGAAAAAAAAAAAAAAAUGUAUGAAAUUGUAUGAAAUGUAUGCAUUCACCACUGUAAGUCGCUCUGGAUAAGAGCGUCUGCUAAAUUACUAAAAUGUAAAUGUAAAUGUAAGAUGAUCCAACUUUCAAAACAAGUCCUUUUAGGCUAGUCACAGCAGCCAACUAGCGAGCUAGCCAC